ACGUAUGUGCCCGAGCUUCCUACAAUGGUCACACCAGGGUCUCGUCUUCUUCGUACAAGCAUCCAGUGCUCGGGUUGUGAGUGCAAAGGAAUUUUCGGCCUGGUGGGUGAGUUCGGCGUCUCCAAGCAUAUCCUUCCUUUGGCUUUCUUCUCGCCAAAUCUCAGAGAAGGCCUCACGAAGACUCGACAAUGGCUUAAUACUCAGUAAGCGUCCCUGAACCUCAUCGAGCUUUUUGUUCAAUCCUAGCAGAAAUUUAAAGACUCACUUCUGUUUAACAAUCGAUUUAAAGAUUUUCAUAUCUUUGAGACAGCUCCAUCGAUGCUCUUCGAAGAUAUCCAAUUGCUGCCAGCGGCGGGUCAAAGCAUUAUAAUAGUGUUACGCUUAACUCACCUUGCUGAAAAUCGUGAACAGUCUAUUUUAUCUCAAAGAUGGUAGAGGUGUUCUCCUUCCUAUAGUAGAAUUCCUACGCAGCACCCAAAUCUCAUGCGCGGUCUCAUAAAGAAGGAAAUUCUCUCCGAUUUCUGGAGUCAUUGAAGUUAUGAGCCACGACAUGACCAUGUUGUUUUCGAUCUUCCAUGUACGAGCAUUCAGGUCAGUCGUGGGAGGAGGUAUGAGUUCGCCAGUGAGAUACUCGUUGCGCUCCUUACCUCAGAUGAACAACAGAACGGACGACGAUCAUUGAAGGUAAUUGUUGUCGUUUAGUUUGUGUCCUGUGAUAAAGGAUGAAGACAUUUCACCCACACCAUUGUUGAUGGGUGUGUGAUGAUAGGAACCCGAGGAGACCUCGGGUAAAAAAGACGAAAGCUCACCUAUGGCCAUUUGUGACUUUAGCACAACAGGGAUGAUUCUCUUGUAUUAGGGAUGCUCUGAUACCAUGAAGUUUUAGAGAAUGAAAAUUCUACUUCUUCUUAUUUCCAUCACCAUAAGGUGUCAAUUUAUAGGAAAAAGACAACCAAAUUCUAACAAAAACUCUAACAAAAUUCAAAAUACUUUAUGGGAAUGAGGAAUAACAAAUCGGUUAUAACUCACCAACUUUUGUGAUUACCUCCACUAGGCUAAACACUAGACUAAUAAUAACAAAAAAUAAAAACUGAAUUGAUUUUUUCAUUUUCUACAAAUAUAUUAUUAAAACAAAAUAUUUUAAAUUUUAAAUGCUUUCAAUGAAUAAUUAAUUAACAAUAAUUGCUAAUUUUAUUUGGUUCAGUAGGUAUAUGAAAAUUAUUGUAAGAAUUCCUUUUCUAUUUGUUAUUAAUUUGUAUGGUUAGGAUAAAGCAUUAUAGUACUAAAGUUUGUUCUUCCUCAUUUGAGUGCUUAAUAAGGUACAUAUGACUACUAAAAGAAACUUAAAUGUCAGUGUUUAUUUAAAAAAUAAGCAAUUAUUUGGAAGAGGAUAAAAAGAUGAGUUAAUUAGAUAAAAUAAGUAUAUAGAAAAAGUUACCAACAAUAUAGUGUUCUAAUUGUAACGACCCCGGAAAAUAUUAAAAUGAAAUGAGUAUUUAAAUAUAUCGAAUGCGGAAGCGAGAUCAAAAUUUCAUUUAACAUCCCUUACACGAAAAACCAAAAACGUACUUAAAAUAUAAAAGAUUAAACUAACUAAGAAAGAAACUCGAAAAUAAAACUAUGCGUAUGACUACAGAGUCUCUAGGCAUCCCCUUCGUCGUCCUCCUGCGGAACGGGCUCGGGAACCAUGUCUUCCUGAUCUGAAA
rnacentral:lncRNA from 1 species